GAUGAACGCUGACAGAAUGCUUAACACAUGCAAGUCAAGGGGCGGACGGGUAAGUAACGCGUAGAGAACUUGCCUCACGGAUAGGGACAACAUUUGGAAACGAAUGCUAAUACCUAAUACUGUGAGAGAGCUUUGCGUCCCAUUAGCUAGUUGGAGAGGUAACGGCUCACCAAGGCGAUGAUGGGUAGCCGGCCUGUGAGGGUGAUCGGCCACAAGGGGACUGAGACACGGCCCGUACUCCGACGGGAGGCAGCAGUGGGGAAUAUUGGACAAUGGACCAAAGGCUGAUCCAGCAAUUCUGUGUGCACGAUGAAGUUUUCGGAAUGUAAAUUGCUGUCAGUUGGGAAGCGGUACCAACAGAAGAAGUGACGGCUAAAUACGUGCCAGCAGCCGCGGUAAUUC
rnacentral:rRNA from 1 species